UCCCAGUAGAAGCAUCCAGAGCAGGGUUUGGUCUCAGGGGUGCUCACAAACAGGCCAGGCAGGACUUAGGUACCAUGGAGGCCAGGUUUCACGGCCCUUGCCUCCCCUGAGAAGCUUCUUCUCUGUCAUGCAGGACACACAUGCAGGCCGAAUACUCCUUCCUGUGUUCUCCUGCUUAGCUCACCUUUGCCUUAAACCAGGUAGAACCCCCAGGAUCAAAGGUCGAAAAGCCCCUUGUCCUGCACUGCCCUGUCCAGACACCAUCUCAACAGGAAGAAUACUUGGAGAAGGCUCUGAAAUUAACAGAGGGCAGUAUGUGGAGUCCUAGACCUGCUGUGUGUGUGUGUGUGUGUGUGUGUGUGUGUGUGUGUGUGUGUAUUGGGUGUUUGUGAGUGCCUGGGUUUAUUGUGGUGUAGUCCUGUUUGGGUCCAUAAGAGGUGUCUGAGAGGCACAGUAUAUAAGAGUUAUUGUGGUCAGGUCCAGGUUGAUGGGGAAGGACAGGUUGGCAUGUAGGGGAAGCCUUUUAGGGCUCCAUCCUUCAGCUCCAGCUCAGGUGAGCACAAUGUUUGGAGUGGUGCAUUUUGUUUGUGGGUUGGAGCUCAGGGGCGUGCUGGGGUGUGUGUGUGCUGCAGGCAUCCUGGUGUUAAGAGUGAGAAUUGCUUCUUGUCCCUCAGCUUCUAUGUUGCCUGUCCUUGGUCAGCUUGAAUCUCUUGAGAGAGCUGAGUCCUGUGUGUGCCUAGGCCCUGCCACAGGGCCGUGGAUGGCCUGCCUGUUGAGGCGAGUUUAUGGAUGUCCCUGGCCCCCAGUGGUCCCUGCUUUGGAUGAUUUGGGGCAAUUCCAUCUGAAUGCACAUCACUACCAAGUCCAAGGUUUUGGAAGGAAGCCCUUCUCCUCUCCCAUCUCAAGAUUACACCAUGGGACCCUGGAAGAGGGGACUCAGGCCCCUGUCCCUGGAUCCUUGACCAGUGCACACUGCUGCCUGCCUUUUCCUUGUGUCCAUCCGUGAACAGCCUUCUGCCAGCUUCUAUGUUACCUGUCCUCAGUCCACUUGAAUCUCUUGAGAGAGCUGAAUCCUGUGUGUGCCUAGGCCCUGCCACAGGGACCUGGACGAUCUGCCUUUUGAGACAAGGUUGUUGAUGUCCUGUGCCCCCGGUGGACCCUGCUUCUGGUGAUGUGGGGCAGCAUCCACUUGAAUGCUCUUCACCACGAAGCCCAAGAUUUUGGAAGGAAGCCCUUCUCCUCUCCUAUCUCAAUAUGAGACCAUCAGUCCAUGGGCAGUAGUCUCCCCUGGUGUCACAACUUUCUGUGUGCUCUUGGUUCUGGGACACCACCACCCCACUGCUCUAGCAGGUCCGGGGGCAGCCUUGGAGGCCCCUUCUUUGCUCGCCGCCUUGACCUGGAAGCUUGGGUCAGCAGACCUAAGGCCAUCCUGGCAGCUGUACUGCUCACCCUGAAAAUAUUUAUACAAAGAUCAAGAUUGUUAUCCAUUAAAAGUUCACAUUUUAAGUAUUCGGCCUCCAGAUUUCUGUCCUCAAACUCCUGCCUUGACUUCCUUCCACAGUGGACUGUCACCUGUAAGCCAAAUAAACCCUUUCCCAGAA